rnacentral:rRNA from 1 species
UGAGGAGCGCGUAUCUGACUGGACUCAGGCUGGGGGAUAGUAGCUCGAAAGGGGGUUGAAUACCGCAUGUGCUCGGUGCUGUGAGGGCAUCGAGGAAAGUUGGCCUCUGCGGGCACGCUGAUGGCCUGAGACAGUGAUGCGUCCUAUUAGCUAGCUGGUGGGGUAAGGGCCUACCAUGGCGACGAUGGGUAGCUGGUCUGAGAGGAUGAUCAGCCACACUGGGACUGCGACACGGCCCAGACUCCUACGGGAGGCAGCAGUGGGGAAUUUUGCGCAAUGGGCGCAAGCCUGACGCAGCAGCGCCGCGUGCAUGACGACGCCUUUCGAGGUGUAAAGUGCUGUCGACCGGGACGAAGGGGCGAGGGUGAACAGCUUUCGCGCAUGACGGUACCGGUGGAGGAAGCCCCGGCUAACUCCGUGCCAGCAGCCGCGGUAAGACGGAGGGGGCGAGCGUUGUUCGGAAUUACUGGGCGUAAAGCGCGCGUAGGCGGUGCAGCAUGUGGUGCGUGAAAGCCCUCGGCUUAACCGGUGACGGGCGUGCCAAACUGUUGGACUGGAGUGCCGGAUGGGGAUGCGGAAUUCCUGGUGGAGCGGUGAAAUGCGUAGAGAUCAGGAAGAACGUCGGUGGC